GACGAACGCUGGCGGCGUGCUUAACACAUGCAAGUCGAGCGGUAAGGCCCUUUCGGGGGUACACGAGCGGCGAACGGGUGAGUAACACGUGGGCGACCUGCCCUCAGCUCUGGGAUAAGCCUGGGAAACCGGGUCUAAUACUGGAUAUGACUCCAUGACGCAUGUUGUGGGGUGGAAAGCCUUGUGCGGCUGAGGAUGGGCCCGCGGCCUAUCAGCUUGUUGGUGGGGUGANGGCCUACCAAGGCGACGACGGGUAGCCGGCCUGAGAGGGCGACCGGCCACACUGGGACUGAGACACGGCCCAGACUCCGUACGGGGAGGCAGCAGGUGGGGAAUCUUGCGCAAGUGGGGACGAAAGCCUGACGCAGCGACGCCGCGUGAGGGAUGACGG
rnacentral:rRNA from 1 species